rnacentral:rRNA from 1 species
AAGGCAGCAGGCACGCAAAUUACCCACUCCCGGCACGGGGAGGUAGUGACAAAAAAUAACGAUACGGGACUCAUCCGAGGCCCCGUAAUCGGAAUGAGUACACUUUAAAUCCUUUAACAAGGAUCCAAUGGAGGGCAAGUCUGGUGCCAGCAGCCGCGGUAAUUCCAGCUCCAUUAGCGUAUAUUAAAGUUGUUGCGGUUAAAAAGCUCGUAGUUGGUUCUGCGUCCCACGAUGCUGGUUCACCGCCUGACGGUGCAACUGGCAUGCCGUGGGAUGUCCUGUCGGUGGUGGCCUUGGCCCACGGCGCGUGUAGGUCCAUACCGAAGCACGUCGUGUGUCGCCAAGGAUCGCCGAUCCAAUCCUGCCUCGGUGCUUUUUAUCGAGUGUCGAGGUGGGCCGACACGUUUACUUUGAACAAAUUAGAGUGCUCAAAGCAGGCUAAUUAUGCCUGGAUAUUGGUGCAUGGAAUAAUGGAAUAGGACCUCGGUUCUAUUUUGUUGGUUUUCGGAACCCGAGGUAAUGAUCAAUAUGGACAGGCGGGGGCAUUCGUAUUGCGACGUUAGAGGUGAAAUUCUUGGAUCGUCGCAAGACGGACUAGAGCGAAAGCAUUUGCCAAGUAUGUCUUAGUUGAUCAAGAACGAAAGUUAGAGGUUCGAAGGCGAUCAGAUACCGCCCUAGUUCUAACCAUAAACGAUGCCAGCCAGCGAUCCGCCGAUGUUCCUCCGAUGACUCGG